CAGGUACUAAGUUGCCUCAAGGGCUAGGCUCUAAUUUCAUUCAGAUUACAUAUGAUUCUCAAUUGGUUGUGAACCAAGUGCAUGGAAUUUACAAAGCAAUAGAUGAGAUAACGAUGAGAUACUUAGACAGAGUUAGGGUCUUUUUCUCUAUUCAAGAGGAUACAACAACAACAACAACAACAAACCCAGUGUAUUCCCACCUAGUGGGGUCUGGGGGGGUAAGAUGUACGCAGUCCAUACCUCUACCUCUAAUGAAGUAGAAAGGCUAUUUCCGAUAGACCCCCGGCUCAAGGCACGAGAUACCACACAAACACAUAGUAAAGCACAGAAGCAGAUAACAUAAAUACGGCACCCAUAAGUAAUAUAAAAUAGAGGAAAGUAGAGGAAAGCACACAGAUUCGUAGUAAAACAUGGAACACGG
rnacentral:lncRNA from 1 species